rnacentral:lncRNA from 1 species
GGGUGACCUCUGAUGGUGCAGUUGUACUUGGUGAGGAUAUGAGAGUGGUUGUGGAAGCUUCAGUUUCUGUUGAUGGUGCUGUUGUUGUUGUUGAAGCAGCAUUGUGCUGUGGAUGGUGCAGUUGU